rnacentral:lncRNA from 1 species
UUGGCCAUUAACACUAAGUGUCAAUCACUUUUUGUUCUCUCGGAUUGAUGCUUCAACUUUUUUUAGUUGUUUGUUUGCUUUCCAAUAGAAUCCUGUCAAACUGAUUUAUAUAGUGUGUUCUUAAUUUAUUCUGUAACACAAUGUCUUAAGUUAUAUUACAGGAGGAUUGAACGCUGGUGUUGUUUAUGUGCCUGUACCAACAGUAACCAAGCCCUUAUUCUGUAGUUAUUGUUGUUUGCUGUCUGCCUUUUUAUAUAUUUAUAUUCUAAUUUUUAGUUUUAGCAUUUGUUAUGCCGUUGUUAUGCCCCACCUACGAUAGUAGAGGGGCAUUAUGUUUUCUGGUCUGUGCCUCCGUCCGUCCGUCCUUCCGUUCGUUCGUUCGUUCGUUCGUCCGUCCGUGCGUCCGUUCGCUUCAGGUUAAUGUUUUUGGUCAAGGUAGUUUUUGAUGAAGUUAAAGUUACAUCAACUUGAAACUUAGUACACAUGUUCCCUAUGAAAUGAUCUUUCUAAUUUUAAUUCCAAAUUAAAGUUUUGACGCCAAUUUCACGGUCGACUAAACAUAAAAAAUGAUAGUGCAAGUGGGGCAUUUGUACUAUGGACACAUUCUUGUUUUUCUCUUUGUAAUUGUUUCACAUUUUGACCUGCCAGAGCUUUUUAUAGCUAACUAUGCCUGAGUUUGCUUAUUAUUGUCAGACAGUGACCAGAGUGUUCCCGUUCUGGUCUUUUGGUUUAUGUGGAUAUUGAUCUCAUCAGUAACCAUAC